CUCAAAGUGAAGGGUGGGGGCUUCUCAGCUCCUUCAUGGAGGUUGGACACCAAGGGCCCUUCAAAACACAGAAGCUUCUUGCUCACGGCAGAAAGCCCAAUUCCAUCUGGCCCCUGCAGGUUGGCUCAGCACUGGGGAAUCAGAGUCCCCUCCAUGACCAAGGCACCACUCCACUGACAGGGUCACAUCUCCCAGGAAGAUCUCACUUCCCCACAGAAGCUCUUGGCCUGGCCUCCUGCAGUGCCACGCUCCGUGUAUUUGACAAGCUGAGUUGGACACUCCAUGUGGUAGAGUGUCAGUUUGUCAAAUACCCCAAGUGCGGCACAUGCUUACCAGCUCUAGGCCAGGGCAGAUGGGAUAUGACGAAUGGACUGCCAGCUGGAUACAAGGAUGCUCACCAAGCACCAAGUUCUCACAAGUUAUUUUAUGUGACUUUGCAGGAACUGAGGCAUUAUAUCUGAGGACACCAGGGGAAAAGUGUGGCAUCUCAGGGAAAUACAGCCCUGGGCUGUGUCUACACACACCAUGAGAGUGCUGAUGGGGGCGCAAUAGUCUUGAAAAUGUAUAAAGUGUCCAGGAAUGGAAGUGCUCUUUGAUUCAUUAUUAUUUUCUUCCUUCAUAUUCCCCUCCCAGAGUCUCCUAUCUAGGACAUCAGCAUUCUCACACAAGCCUAAUGGCUUAUCUGAGUAAGCAGGGCUUAGAAAUUCACUUUCUUGAUACUCAGUCUUGCCUUCUAAACACUCCUUGAUCUUGCCUACCUCUCCCCUUUUCCACAUGUCUUUUCCUGUAGGAACACUUUCUCCAUUUAUUCCUGCCUAUCCAAUUCUUCCCUAUAUUUCCUGGACCAGCUAAAGUCCAGUGUUUCCAGAGACUUUUGAAAGUCAACUUACACUUUUUCCUUCUUCAUUCACAAAGCUCUUCUUCCCUGGGCCCUGGUAUGUAUGCCUUUCUCUCCUACUGUCUAAUAGCACCUCGUAAAUUGUCAAUGAACUUUUCUAAGGGGUAUUCUUGAAUUCCCAACUAGAUUGUGAGCUUCUGGAAGACAAGGCUAUGUCUUUGAUUGUUGUCUCCCCUACCACAGCCCAGUACUUUAGUUACAGAAAAUAAUAAAUAUUUACUGAUUGAUUGACUUUCCUCUUGUCCACUAGCUUUAGGUUUGGGGGCCAAAUUCUACCCUGGAUUUUGAAAAAUUCAAACUGUGAACACCACAAUGUUAUAGAGCAUAUGAGGUAGUAGCCAGCAUGAAGGAUGUUUUCUUCCUGAGAAACAGUGUCAAGGGCUGGAGGAAGAGGGCAAAAUAGCAGACUCAGAGGGCAAAUAAAUUUUGGUAUUACUUGGUCACACAAGGUUAUACAGGUGUUUUCUUGUAGGAUUUUUCAGAGCCUUUAAUAGUCUAAUGUUGCAUUGAGAAUCUCAAAGAGGAAACCAUAGAAUGAGGCAUUUGCCAUACCUAUCUGAUCAUGAAUUUUCUUUUCCCCCACAGCCUUCUCCUGUGUCAAUGUCCAAUGAAGCACGAUUUGGGAAACUGUCCUAGAGAAACUUUAUACCUUCCCGCUCUUCUGGAGAUCUUUUCCUCUUUUCAUUCAUCUACUUUCCCCAACCAGCCAUCUGCCUAAGAAAGGUCACAUGUUAUCAUCUCAUUUUUGUUUAGCCUCUGCAGCUGUGGACUAUCUUUAUUACAUAGGAAUUCUUUACUAGCUUGUCCUGUAUUUAAAAAUAUUCUAAGUUUUGAGGCAAAGAAGAUCCAGAUGCUGCAAUAAAUAUAUGCACUGAGGAGUUCACAGGCCUGACUUUUGGUCUCCUUUCUACCACUAACUGUGUUUUUGUUCCUCUCUGAGCUUCAUUUUCUCAUCUCCAAUACGGAAGUAUUAGAAUCAGUGAUCUCUAG
rnacentral:lncRNA from 1 species